rnacentral:rRNA from 1 species
GUCCACGCUGUAAACUAUGAUUACUCGUUCUCGGCGAUAUACGGUCGGGGACUAAGCGAAAGUGAUAAGUAAUCCACCUGGGGAGUACGAUCGCAAGAUUGAAACUCAAAGGAAUUGACGGGGGCCCGCACAAGCGGUGGAGCAUGUGGUUUAAUUCGAUGAUACGCGAGGAACCUUACCAGGACUUGAACGCAUUUUGACAGAUUGAGAAAUCAGUCCUUCUUCGGACAAUUUGCGAGGUGCUGCAUGGCUGUCGU